rnacentral:rRNA from 1 species
UUCGCAAUGCCCGAAAGGGUGACGAAGCGACGCCGCGUGCGGGAAGAAGGCCUUCGGGUUGUAAACCGCUGUCGGGAGUUAAGAAAUGCAAGGAUGUUAAUAGCAUCUUUGUUUGAGUACGGCUCCGGAGGAAGCCACGGCUAACUCUGUGCCAGCAGCCGCGGUAAUACAGAGGCGGCAAGCGUUGUUCGGAAUUAUUGGGCGUAAAGAGCACGUAGGCGGCUGUGUAAGUCGGUUGUGAAAGCCUUCCGCUUAACGGAAGAACGGCAUCCGAUACUGCAUAGCUCGAGUGCGGGAGGGGAGAGUGGAACUUCUGGUGGAGCGGUGAAAUGCGUAGAUAUCAGAAGGAACACCGGCGGCGAAGGCGACUCUCUGGCCCGUAACUGACGCUGAGUGUGCGAAAGCUAGGGGAGCAAACGGGAUUAGAUACCCCGGUAGUCCUAGCCGUAAACGAUGGGCACUAAGUAGAGGGGUUUU